UACGUAGGGAGCUAGCGUUGUUCGGAAUCACUGGGCGUAAAGCGCACGUAGGCGGAUGUGUCCGUCAGGGGUGAAAUCCCGGAGCUCAACUCCGGAACUGCCCUUGAUACAGCACGUCUUGAGUCCGGAAGAGGUGGGUGGAAUUCCUAGUGUAGAGGUGAAAUUCGUAGAUAUUAGGAAGAACACCGGUGGCGAAGGCGGCCCACUGGUCCGGUACUGACGCUGAGGUGCGAAAGCGUGGGGAGCAAACAGG
rnacentral:rRNA from 1 species